CCAUUUUUUCUCUCAUUUUCCCCCAUUUUUCCCCAUUUUAACCAUUUUUCCUGUCAUUAUCCCCCAAUUUUCCCAUUUUUAACCAUUUUCCCCAUUUUCCCCAUUUUUAACUAUUUUUUCUCUAAUUUUUUCCCCAAUUUCCCCAUUUUUCCCCUUUUUCCCCAAUUUCCCCAUUUUUCCCCUUUUUCCCCAAUUUCCCAAUUUUCCAAUUUUAACCAUUUUUUCUCUAAUUUUCCCCCAUUUUUCCCCAUUUUUAACCAUUUUUCUCUCAUUUUUCCCCAUUUUAACCAUUUUUUUCUCUCAUUUCCCCCCAUUUUUCCCCAUUUUCUCCCAUUUUCCCCCUUUUUCCCCAUUUCCCCAUUUUUAACCAUUUUUCUCUCAUUUUCCCCAAUUUUAACCAUUUUUUCUCUGUUUUCCCCCCAUUUUUCCCCAUUUUCCCCCAAUUUCCCCAUUUUAACCAUUUUUUCUCUGUUUUCCCCCCAUUUUUCCCCAUUUUCCCCCCAAUUUCCCCAUUUUAACCAUUUUUUCCUCUCAUUUUCCCCCAAUUUUAACCAUUUUUUCUCUGUUUUUUCCCCAUUUUCCCCAAUUUUAACCAUUUUUUCUCUGUUUUUUCCCCAUUUUUCCCCAUUUCCCCCCCUUUUCCCCCCUCCCCCCCCAGACCUCCCCGGACCCCCCCGACCCCCACCCCUCCCCCCCCGCCCCCCCCCCCCCCCCCCCCCCCCCCCCCCCCCCCCCCUCCCCCACCCCCGCCCCUCCCCCCAUCCCCAAAAUCCUCCUGGCCCGGACGCUCCUCCCAGGGGGCGGAGCCAACGCCCAGGGGGGCGUGGCCUCGGCGGCGGGGGGGGCGGGGCUUGUGGCCGUGCUGGCCCCGCCCCCUCCGCGCCCCCCCGCCCCUCCCCCACCCCCGCGGGCGCGGCUCCACCCCCCCCCCCCUCCAGCAAAUGGCGGCGGGUGGGGGAGGGGGAGGCGGGGGAGGGGCAGCGGGGGGUGGGGGAGGGGCUGGUGGGGGAGGGGGAGGGGGCGUGGCUUCCUCGCAGCCCCUCCCCCACCGCAGCCCCUCCCCCCAAGCCCCGCCCCCGCCCCCUCCCCCCCUGCAGCCCAUGCGGGGGCCCCCCCCCCUGCAGAUCAAGGUGCUGCCCCUCCCCCCGCUGCACGCGCUGCCCCUCCCCCACCCCGCACCCUCCCCCACCCCCACCCCCCCACAGAGGGGGGAGGGGCGGCCCCAGCCCGAGGAGGAGGAGGAGAUGGAGGAGGAGGAGGAGGAAGAGAUGGGGGCGGAGCCGGUGGUGGUGCCGCAGGUGCCGUCGCCGCCGCGCCUGGAGCUGGUGGCCGUGGCGGAGUCGCCGCCGGGCGCGGCCGAGUGGCCGCGGGGUCGGUGCGUCCGCGCCGGCUGCGAGAACGCGCCCGUGGCCAGCGGCGACUGGGACGAGGAGUUCUGCAGCAGCGAGUGCCUGGUGCGCCACUGCCGGGACGUGUUCCUGGCCUGGCUGGCCGCCCGCAGCGCCGGCAGCAGCAGCAGCAACGUCGUCUUCGUCAAGUGAGACCCCCCAAAUUUUGGGGCAAUUUUGGGGCUUUUUGGGUCGCUUCGGGCGCAUUAAAAAUCUCGCUGGGAUCUCUGCAUUCGGUUUUUGUGCUUUUUUUUUAUGGUUUUCGCCCCAAAAUCGGGGUUUGGAUGGGGGGAGGAGGAGUCACGAAAUCGGCGUCGGAAUCGUUAAAAAAAAAGGAUUUUGA
ensembl:lncRNA